rnacentral:rRNA from 1 species
GCUUACGGCCACACAGCCUGGUUCACUCCUGAUCCCGCUUUGAUCUCUGAAGCUAAGAUAGGUUGGCCCUGGUUAGUACUUGGAUGGGAGACCGCCUGGGAAUACCAGGUGCUGUAAGCU